rnacentral:rRNA from 1 species
CCUACGGGAGGCAGCAGUGGGGAAUAUUGCACAAUGGGGGAAACCCUGAUGCAGCGACGCCGCGUGAGUGAGGAAGUAUUUCGGUAUGUAAAGCUCUAUCAGCAGGGGAGAAAUUGAUGGUACCUGACUAAGAAUGCCCGGCUAACUACGUGCCAGCAGCCGCGGCAAUACGUAGGGGGCAAGCGUUAUCCGGAUUUACUGGGUGUAAUGGGAGCGUAGACGGACUUGCAAGUCAGAUGUGAAAAGCCGGGGACCAACCCCGGAACUGCUUUGGAAACUGUAUUUCUAGAGAGUCGGAGAAGCAAGUGGAAUUACUGGUGUAGCGGUGAAAUGCGUAGAUAUCAGGAGGAACACCAGUGGCGAAGGCAGCUUGCUAAACGAUAACUGACGUUGAUGCUCGAAAGCGUGGGGAGCGAACAGGAUUAGAUACCCUUGUAGUC